GACGAACGCUGGCGGCGUGCUUAACACAUGCAAGUCGAGCGGUAAGGCCCUUUCGGGGGUACACGAGCGGCGAACGGGUGAGUAACACGUGGGUGACCUGCCCUCAGCUCUGGGAUAAGCCUGGGAAACUGGGUCUAAUACUGGAUAUGACUCCACGGUGCAUGUCGUGGGGUGGAAAGCCUUGUGCGGCUGAGGAUGGGCCCGCGGCCUAUCAGCUUGUUGGUGGGGUGANGGCCUACCAAGGCGACGACGGGUAGCCGGCCUGAGAGGGCGACCGGCCACACUGGGACUGAGACACGGCCCAGACUCCUACGGGAGGCAGCAGUGGGGAAUAUUGCACAAUGGGCGAAGCCUGAUGCAGCGACGCCGCGUGAGGGAUGACGGCCU
rnacentral:rRNA from 1 species